rnacentral:rRNA from 1 species
UGUAUGUACCCUUCGAAUAAGCAUCGGCUAAUUCCGUGCCAGCAGCCGCGGUAAUACGGAAGAUGCGAGCGUUAUCCGGAUUUACUGGGUGUAAAGGGUGCGUAGGUGGUAUGGCAAGUCAGAAGUGAAAACCCGGGGCUCAACCCCGUGGAUUGCUUUUGAAACUGUCAAACUAGAGUACCGGAGAGGUAAGCGGAAUUCCUGGUGUAGCGGUGAAAUGCGUAGAUAUCAGGAGGAACACCGGUGGCGAAGGCGGCUUACUGGACUGCAACUGACGUUCAGGCUCGAAAGCGUGGGGAGCAAACAGGAUUAGAUACCCUG